rnacentral:rRNA from 2 species
UCAUGGCCCUUACGACCAGGGCUACACACGUGCUACAAUGGCGCAUACAAAGAGAAGCGACCUCGCGAGAGCAAGCGGACCUCAUAAAGUGCGUCGUAGUCCGGAUUGGAGUCUGCAACUCGACUCCAUGAAGUCGGAAUCGCUAGUAAUCGUGGAUCAGAAUGCCACGGUGAAUACGUUCCCGGGCCUUGUACACACCGCCCGUCACACCAUGGGAGUGGGUUGCAAAAGAAGUAGGUAGCUUAACCUUCGGGAGGGCGCUUACCACUUUGUGAUUCAUGACUGGGGUGAAGUCGUAACAAGGUAACCGUAGGGGAACCUGC